rnacentral:rRNA from 1 species
AUUGAACGCUGGCGGCAGGCCUAACACAUGCAAGUCGAGCGGAUGAAGGGAGCUUGCUCCUGGAUUCAGCGGCGGACGGGUGAGUAAUGCCUAGGAAUCUGCCUGGUAGUGGGGGAUAACGUCCGGAAACGGGCGCUAAUACCGCAUACGUCCUGAGGGAGAAAGUUGUGGAUCUUCGGACCUCACGCUAUCAGAUGAGCCUAGGUCGGAUUAGCUAGUUGGUGGGGUAAAGGCCUACCAAGGCGACGAUCCGUAACUGGUCUGAGAGGAUGAUCAGUCACAAUGGAAAUGAGACACGGUCCAGACUCCUAAGGGAGGCAGCAGUGGGGAAUAUUGGACAAUGGGAGAAAGCCUGAUCCAGCCAUGACGCGUGUGUGAAGAAGGUCUUCGGAUUGUAAAGCACUUUAAGUUGGGAGGAAGGGCAGUAAGUUAAUAACUUGCUGUUUUGACGUUAACAACAGAAUAAGCACCGGCUAACUUCGUG